rnacentral:RNase_P_RNA from 18 species
AAACCGCAAGUGUGCAGCCGCUGUAUAACUUCUGGUUAUGCAGAGGAAAGUCCGAACUUCACAGGGCAGGAUGCCGGUCGAGAGCCGAAAGGCUCAAGCCCGGGGACAGCAGGGAAAACCAGCUGUCACAGAUAGUGCAACAGAAAAUAUACCGCUCCGGGAAACCGGUGUAAGGGUGAAAAGGCGGUGUAAGAGACCACCGGAUAUUCCGGUAACGGAAUGUGCCUGGCAAACCUCUCCGAAGCAAGGCUAAAUAGGAAAACUUUUUUCCUUCGGGAAAAAAAGAGCGGCCCGUUCAAUUCCUUUUACAAGGAGAGUUUUCGGGUAAGCCGCAUCAGAUAAAUGGCUGCAGCUUCAUAUCCCAGGGGAUAUGAUCCACAGAAUUCGGCUUACAGCUUCGGUUUCAGC